rnacentral:rRNA from 1 species
AGUGAACGCUGGCGGUAGGCCUAACACAUGCAAGUCGAACGGCAGCACAGUAAGAGCUUGCUCUUACGGGUGGCGAGUGGCGGACGGGUGAGGAAUACAUCGGAAUCUACUUUUUCGUGGGGGAUAACGUAGGGAAACUUACGCUAAUACCGCAUACGACCUACGGGUGAAAGCAGGGGAUCUUCGGGCCUUUCGCGAUUGAAUGAGCCGAUGUCGGAUUAGCUAGUUGGCGGGGUAAAGGCCCACCAAGGCGACGAUCCGUAGCUGGUCUGAGAGGAUGAUCAGCCACACUGGAACUGAGACACGGUCCAGACUCCUACGGGGGGCAGCAGUGGGGAAUAUUGGACAAUGGGCGCAAGCCUGAUCCAGCCAUACCGCGUGGGUGAAGAAGGCCUUCGGGUUGUAAAGCCCUUUUGUUGGGAAAGAAAAGCAGCAGGUUAAUACCCCGCUGUUCUGACGGUACCCAAAGAAUAAGCACCGGCUAACUUCGUG